rnacentral:rRNA from 1 species
UACGUAGGGUGCGAGCGUUGUCCGGAAUUACUGGGCGUAAAGAGCUUGUAGGUGGUUUGUCGCGUUGUUCGUGAAAUCUCACGGCUUAACUGUGAGCGUGCGGGCGAUACGGGCAGACUAGAGUACUGCAGGGGAGACUGGAAUUCCUGGUGUAGCGGUGGAAUGCGCAGAUAUCAGGAGGAACACCGGUGGCGAAGGCGGGUCUCUGGGCCGAUACUGACGCUGAGGAGCGAAAGCGUGGGGAGCGAUCAGG